UCUUAGUGUAAAUAUUUUUGGAGCUGGACGGUUUGCCAAAGGGGUCUCGACCCACAGGUUGAGAACCACUUAAUUAAGGGCCCAACCACAGAAAAACUUGAAUGACCUUCAUCUCCUUCAAGGCCCCAGGUGGGCAAACAGACGGGGUGAAGCACCUGGCCCAGCUGGCAGCCAUGCUCAAGACCUGCAAGGCGCUGGCAGCCUCCACCCUGCAGAAGCCCUCGCCUCUGCAGCCUUGCUCACCAGCGCCUCCCUGUGGUGAGAUCUGAGAUUGUGCGGAAAUGAAAGCUCGACUCGAGCUUCCAGGAUGACAGAACCUCUCACACUUGGAGGUCAUUUUCCGUUGCUCUGACCUUAUUGUUGUGGUGUAUUCGCCCGAGAAGACUGCUCUGGUCUCUAAGUCAAAAGAAAGCCAGCCUGCGACUACACUGGGUGUUUGGGAUCCCAG
rnacentral:lncRNA from 1 species